CUGCUCCGGACCCCCUUACCGACAGAGCCGGUGGCGGCGAUAACCGCAGCUUCCGAUAGGACCUCCACGAUGCCGGCGCGCACGGUCGCCGCGCUGCGGCUGUUGGCGUCCAGGUGGCUCAGGAGCUGCUGGAUAACCAGGUCUCACUGGCAAGGACCCCGAGAAGCCCCGUGGCUCAGCUGCGUGCUGCACAGUGUGGCUGGGGGGCCCAGUGCCAAUGCACGAGCUGACUGAUAACACCGCUUGCUGCGGAGAGGAGGGCGGGCCAGAAGGAAAGGAAGCCUAGCAGCCGGGAACGCUCAGCAAGCCAGGGCGUGCAAGGCUGCUUGUCUUUUUGCGCCAUUUAAUUUUUCUCUAGGAAUUCGUUUUCGUUUUAUUUCAUCAAAAUGCCGACCUCGGAUGUACUAAACAUUAAACUGGCCUCCCUUUUCACAGCCGGGUGAUGACAGCAAGGUCUGCGGCCGCUAGGGUCUCUGGGGGAAGUCAGAGGACACGUGGCUUGGCACUUCGUGCACUGUCCCGCACCCGGAAGUGCCCUGGGGGCGUGAGGGGACCAGUUGGCAAGGAGAUCCGGGGGACCUGGACCAGUCAUCUGGCAGUGGGACAUUUCCGGGCUGGGGCGGGACACUCAACUCACAUGAG